rnacentral:rRNA from 1 species
GACGAACGCUGGCGGCGUGCUUAACACAUGCAAGUCGAACGGAAAGGCCCUGCUUGCAGGGUGCUCGGGUGGCGAACGGGUGAGUAACACGUGGGUGAUCUGCCCCUUACUUUGGGAUAAGCCUGGGAAACUGGGUCUAAUACUGGAUAGGACCAUGCUGUAGGUGGUGUGGUGGAAAGAUUAGUUUCGGUAAGGGAUGAGCUCGCGGCCUAUCAGCUUGUUGGUGGGGUAAUGGCCUACCAAGGCGUCGACGGGUAGCCGGCCUGAGAGGGUGGACGGCCACAUUGGGACUGAGAUACGGCCCAGACUCCUACGGGAGGCAGCAGUGGGGAAUAUUGCACAAUGGGCGCAAGCCUGAUGCAGCGACGCCGCGUGGGGGAUGACGGCCUUCGGGUUGUAAACUCCUUUCAGCCAUGACGAAGCCCUUGUGGUGACGGUAGUGGUAGAAGAAGCACCGGCUAACUACGUG